rnacentral:lncRNA from 1 species
CAAAUCUAUUCUACAUUCUCUAUAAUAUAAAAAAAAAUAAUAAUAAUAAUUUGCGUAACUUUCGGAAAAGGUGCGAAGCGGCGCGCGACAAAAUCGAAUCGAAAUUCUUGCGUUUAAGCGGUGCUAAGGUCAAAGGAUAUCAACCGCGAGCGCGCACAUCCUGCCGACGAAAAGAACGCGCGUCGAAGGUCUCCGUAGAGGUUGACCUCUUGCCGGUAGUAUCCUCUUCCCCUCUUUAUCGUUCCUUGCCCAUCCUUCUCUUUCGACGCGCGCAGUGCUCGAAGCGCGCUUCGUACGUACGCUUAGAAUCUAGGUAAAGCCGGCCGCGGCACCGGUAGACCGUUAAGGUUCGAUCACUUAAACGUACGACACGAAAGGGGAGGGCAUGCGGCUCGGGGAGAAGGUGUAGGAGGAGGUAUAGCUCUGCAUACCUGCGUGCGAAGGUGUGUAUAAAGCGGGGGAGCUCCAAAUGUCAGAAAGAAUCGAGCGGAAUAAAGCGGAGUGAGCGGAGAAUAGGAUCGUCCGAACUAGAGGAAUAAUUAUAUUGCCGGAACUGGACGGUGGAGAAUUUUCGAUGAACGAAUGCUGAUGAUUUUAUUUUAUUUUUAUCUCGUUACCCGAUCUAAUUAUGAAUUAUUCUGAGAUAUUUAAUCGUUUCGUUAUUUUUAACCGUACGAGCGAUCGAUAAUUUAUGGCUCGCGACGCGUAAAAUUUCGUUAAUUCUCCUUUCUCUUCGUUCGAGGAUUAAACUCAUUUCAGAACGAUUGGAAAAUAUUGCGCGGAGAUCCGUUGAUAUGAAACCUGUUCGAAAGGCGAACGAUUUCUUUUAUUACUCAAUUCUUCGAUUCUCGCGACAGAGAUCAGUCUCGUUUAUUUUCCUUUGGAUCGAUACGGAAUCGUUCUUUCCUCCGCCGCAUCUCGAUACGGUCCGUAAAAACCGAGAGAUCACGCGGAUGGAAUUGAAGCGAGUGGCACGAACACAAAAGGAAAGGCGCACCGUUGCACUUGUACCUCGAACGACUACGGUUCUCCCGCUGGUGCAUUCUAAUCGAGUGACUAUAAUUAAGCUCGCGAAGCUCGUAUUGGCGCCACGUGAGUAUUCCUGGCGGGACGUGCCGGCGCGCGCGAACCAGUAUUUAUUGCGCGACAAAGAAAUUCGCGGGACAUGCUUCUCUAAUUAUCCAUCGUGCGUGAUACUUCGAUGAAUUAUAUCAAUUAACGGGCAAUACGUACUCGGUGUUUCAGUUUUUUUAACACGAUGUAUAUACAUUUCGCAUUGGUUUGCAAACAUUUGGCAUUUGACAUGGUAGGAAGUGAGGUUAGAACAAUGGAAGAAAAGAAAAAUUCAACUUGCAAAUGGAAAUAUCAAACGGUCAUUUUCGCAAAGUGGUUGGAAUUAUUCCGGUUAUUAAGAUCGAAUGUGAUACCCACAUCGAUGGCAUAAAAAUAAAAAAACGAUAGGCGAUUCACGUAUAUAGCCAUGCUGUAAUAUCGACGGGGCACUAAAUUUUUAUCGGACAUUUCGAGCGAAUUUUCAUUUUUACGUGAAAAAAGUGAUUUUAAACGAAUCGUGAAAAUCAAACUCAUAACCUAGCAAUAUUUAUUUUUACGUAAAAUAAAAUAAUAAAAUAUAAAUUUUUAAUCUAAAUUUUAAUAAACAAUUCUAACAAGAAGAGAACAAGGAAACAAAAUUAACUAAAAAGAAUGGAAAUUUCGAAAAUGAUGCAUGCAUCACGAGAGAGUGAAUCGAUCGACUUACUCAUCCUUAUUAUUACGAUUAUUAACGUAACAAGAGUGAAAAGGGAAAAAAAUGAUAACGCUACAACCGCUCCCUAAUUUCAGCGUGCUAGAAAUAAAAUUCUGCGAGCCACGGAUGUCCGUUGGCCAUCGAAAAGGAGUAAUCGUUCUGAAAAAAAGGUCGUUUCUGAAAAGAACCGGCAGAGAGCAUAUAGUGGUUGGUGCACCGGUUAUCGACGAUAAUGGACCGGAUCGUCGAUUCGUACGUACGUCGCGUAUAAAGGCGGUGCAUAGUCGAAUCGUGGGAAUCGAUCGGAUUACAUCCGCCCAAUUAAUUUUUUUUCGCCGGAACCGCCUCUCCGCGCAUCCCCCUCGCGAGAGCUGUCCUCUUUCCUCACCAGAAUGCUCUUGUUUGACCCGGUGCACCGAGGUGCAACGUCGCGGUGCACCUGGAAAGGGAACCUGGAACCGGCCGGAAGCGGUCGCUGAUGUUUUUGGCGUUCAGAAGAGAUUUACUCGAGCCUCGUUCGAUUUUAGCCCCAAUAUAACACUUGAGCAUCUUCCUACCGUUAUUGCCGAUAAUCUAACCUUAACGUGAAUAACGUACGUCAACGUGAGUCAAAUGUAAAUUUAUGUACAAUGUAAUAGAUUAAAAGGAUACGUGGAAAAGCAACGAAGCGUGUCGCGGUUGGUAUACGAGCUCGAUUCACAACGAUACCUAGAGGAAGAAGCGGAUCAAGCUCAGAAAAAGAAUAGUAGAGGGGAGAAGGAAGAAGAU